GCUGGGCCCCUGUGCCGCUGCGGCUGCCGCUGCGGCUGCCGCUGCCGCUGCCGCUGCCGCUGCCGCUGCCGCUGCCGCUGCUGCUGGGGCCCGGCCCUCCACCACCAUCAUCGCCGCCGCCGCCACCGCCACGUGUCGGGCCCUUCUCGCCAGCGGUGGCAGCCUACCCCUGGAAGAUGCAAGCCCUGUUCUAAGCACUAUGCAGCGUACAUGUUGUAGCGGCGCCGCACAUCCACCGCAGCCUCCCAAUUCUCGAGGACGACAGUACGAAAGUGUACCGCACUUUAGAGGCGCAACAGGCUUGGAGGGUCGAUGGCCUCACACAGCGGGCACGCAGCGUCCCCGACCGGCCUGCGACCGCCCUGCGGCCGGCCUGGCGGCCGGCAAGGGCCUAGCACGCCCCCGGCGUGCUUCACUACCCCGUUCAAAAGCCUACCCCCCCUCCUUUUCUUUGUAAGCGCCGGUGCAACAGUACGGGCUGUGGCACCUACUCCGUUUCUACCGGCAGUGGGGCCAGCGGCGGUGGCGCCUGACUGUCCAUGUGCGGACGCAGAAGGUGGGGGUUGAGGGGAGGGGGCCAGCAGAUGCAUCCACACCAACUGCACUGCGCUGACGCUACACCAAUGCCACGGGUACAGGUGCUGGAGCACACGGCGCAGCAGCUGGCUGGUGGAAGGCCCAAGGAGGAGGUCAUUGUUGGCUGGGGCAACGCCAACACUGGCUAUGGCGGUUGCAUCAGCAGGUUGGGGCGGGGCCCAAACCGGGCACUGCUCCGCCUGCUGGUGGACAAGUACGCGCACCUGGUGGUGUACGUGGACGAGUUCUACACAUCGCAGGCAAGAUGAGAGCAGACGGGUUGGAAUGAGUAGACAGGUGGUCGGGUGGACAGGAUGGGGCUCGUGUACAGGUAGCCGGGUAGCCAGCAAGGUUCACACUGUACUCCUGCCCCCUCCCUCCCCAGGUGUGUGCGAAGUGCGGGCGGCGCUUACUCGGCAACGGGCAGCGCUGCCUGCAGGCGGUCGUACCAUGGGGGGGCUUACGUGCUCACCAAGUCCAAGUGUGCAACCACUGCGGGACGGUGUGGGUGAGUCCACUUUGUGGGCGGGCGGCUGGCUGGGCGAUGGAUGGGUGGCUGGGUGGCGGCUCAGUGGGGCUCAGUGGGUGAUGGCUGGCUGGGUGACGGCUCAGUGGGGCUCAGUGGGGCGCAGUCGUGGGCUCAGUGGGGCUCAGUGGGUGAUGGCUGGGUGACGGCUGGGUGACGGCUCAGUCGUGGGCUCAGUGGGACUCACUCACUCUACCCUCCCGACGGUGCAGGGACGUGACGUCAACUCCGCAACCAACAUCCGGCACGCGCUGGUGGAAAUGCUGCUGGGGCACAAGCGACCUGCAUCGCUGCAGACUGGCGGCGGCGGCGGCGGCGGCGGCGGCGGCGGCGGCGGCAGCGGCGGCGGCGGCGGCAGCGGCGGCGGCGGCGGCGGCAGCGGCGGCGGCGGCGGCGGCAGCGGCAGCGGCGGCGGCGGCGGCAGCGGCAGCGGCAGCGGCGGCGGCGGCGGCAGCGGCAGCGGCGGCGGCGCGUGCGCGCAUCUUGGUAGCGGAGGGGGCGGGAAAGGCCACGUGGAGGAGGAGAGCGCAGCGCCGCCCAAGAAGCGGCGCAAGCGCGCAGGCUGAGGAGCCGGCUGGUGUCUAGGUAGCGGUCCGCGGUGGGGCUGGCAGGGAAUGCGUAGCGGCGUGACAAGUAGUGCGGCUGUUGACAACUGUGCUACGUCUGGCUGUGGUUGGCUCUGCUGUGGCAUCGCGAUUGCUAGGCACCUGGUUUGGCUAUGUGCCUGUGGAAACCGACCCCGGCUAUGUCCGGGCGAUGAGGUUGUUCGGCCUCAGAGAGUGGAGGGGCUCAGCCCCUUUUCCCGUGACCGGGGAACACUUGUCUUUGUAACCACUAAAACUCUGCUUGGCUCUAUCAAGCUGUAUAUGACGCAGGCAGUGGCAGUUGCAAGAACGGCAACAGCAGCGCGGCUAAGCGGCAACAAGUGUAGCGGAGGAGGCCCUGGGGGCAGGGGGCAGGGGCUGGUACAAACCGGGUGACGGCAAUGGCAGCGGCUUGUUAUAGGCGGCGUUGGGGCCGGCAGCUAGCGUGGGUGGUGAUUGGUUUGGCGGCAGGUGCAAAUAGCAACGGCUGCUGCAGUGAUGGUCGGUGACGGUGGUGGCUAUGGUGUCUGAGGCGGCAGUUGCAUAAGAUGCGGCAGCAGAGAGAGACGGGUGCUGCGCUGGUGGUGGCUGCGGUGGACGUUGCAUCGGUGAGGGGCAGCGGAAACGGCGUAGGGGGGGGCAUGGUGGCGGACGGUCCCGACAGCUUUUGGGGAUGGCGGCGUAGGCAUGGCAACCCACUACACACCUCCACCGUACCCAGCCGUGUUUGGUUGCGUGCACAGACCGGUCUCUGUCGCCCAGAACGGCAGACAGCUCCGCAGCUCAGGCCGAGGCUGCCUCCAUGUGAUAAACAACCGUGGCUUCGGUGGCAGUUCACUGCAGGCCCGUGUGGUCGUGGGGGGGGGCAACGCCACACGCGACCAGUGUUUGUUUUCGCGCGGCGCGGGGCCGCAGGCCGCGCUCUACCAAGCAGCAUCUCGCCAUGGCAGGAAAAAGAAAAGGAAGGCGGAACACGCAAACCCCGCACCAAGCCCAAACGACCGCGAGCACGGUAACCACCGCAGGCGCACGACCAAGCGCAGGCGCACACGCAACAACACACAGCAAGCUGGGUCAUGGGCCGCACGCAAGCCGGGGCACACAGGCAGCAGCUAACCGACCGCCACGCACGCGGACCGGACCAAGCGGCUGCGCUCAAGGACUCCACAACAAAGCAGACCAGCUGCCGCACGGGAACCACUGCCGGCGCCCGACCAAACGCAGGCACACACGCAUCAACACGCUGCCAAACCGAGCCCACCCCAGCCGCUACCACCGCCAAGCAGGCCUCCUGCAGCCAGAUAGCUGCUCGCGUGCGGCCGUACCGCCCGGCGUUGCACUUUGUCACCACGCCCCAGCUGCAGCCGUCCACCUGGAUCGCUUCGCCCCCCCCUGGAUCGUCUUCGCUCGGGGGGCUCAGCUCGACAAGAAAAGGUGGCUCUCCCUUGCAAGGGAAAAGUGGGCUGAGCCCACGCCACGUCCUCCGUCUGAGGCCGAAGGUUCCGAUACUAGCCUCAUCUCCCGGACAUAGCCGGGUACAGGCACCGCCCGCCAUAUGUGCCCAGUCGCGCCCAGCUAUCAAGCGCUAGUGCAGCAGGCAGCAGGCCAACCAGACAGCAAGGAAAACACCCCUGCCGCUGCAGCCGACUGCCCGCUACGCCAUGCUUCAGCUCAGCCCAAAAAUGUGCAUGCAGCUCAGCUCGAAAAGAAUUCGAAGGCGACGGCCGCCUCCCAGCCGGCGGCAGCAGGAAACCAGCCCGCAGGCCAGAGCCCGCGGCUCCGUCAGCGCGGGUGUCCGCGCGCUUGGCGGCAGGGGCCCAAUCGAGGCCGUCGGCCUCCUGAGGGCCACGCCGCCCCAAAGCCGACCGUGGAUCCAACAGCAUGGCGGCCGGCCCACCGGCACCGCCAGGAGGCAUUGGAAGUGGUGGCGCCUCCGGGAGCGGCGGUGGCGGCGGAAGCGGCGGUGGCAGUGGGAGCGGCGGCGGCGGUGGGAGCGCCAGCAGUGGCUCGGGCAGCGCCGGCGCCACUGCCACCUUCCGCCGACCUUCCUGAGCCUUGCCGGACCGCGCUGGCGGGGGAGGCGAAGACGGACGCCCUCCUGCGGCAGCGGCGCCGGUACGGACGCGGCAGCGAGGCGGUGGCUGCGCCGCGAUGACGGGUCGGGCGACGACAGCCGCGGGGACGGGACGGGACGGGACGACAGCCGCGGGAUGCCGGACCGCGCCACCGCAUGUGCUCGGACCGCCAUCGCCUGCGGACUGAGGCCGCCCCGCGCCAUGCGAGCAGGGGCCGGAGCGCAGCGGGGUACAGGCAGCUGCGGACACCAGUGCAGUGCAGUGCAGUGCAGUGCCGGCACAGCCAGCUGUCCGACUGCACCUUCUCCAGGCCACCCAAGCACCGCAGAUGCCAGCUGCCGUCACAGCCGUCGCAAAGCAGCAUCUGAGGCUCAUUGUCGGCUUUGCGGCAUACUUCACAGUACUGCUUGCCCGGCGUCCAGCACACCGAGUCGCCAAAUGGCAAGGCAGGCAGCGGGUACUGGCCAGCCCCCACUCAAGCCGGCCGUCGGGCGCCACCAGGGCCACGCCCCCACGCGGCCCGGCAGACCGCACACGGCGCACCUCAAACGGCUGCACGAACCCAGCCGACUGCCAAGGCCGACACUUGAAGACGUAGCUACCCCGCACCAAAGGCGCCACUGGGCCGCCGGGCGCGGGGCCGCGGGCCCGCCUCCACCAGCCCAGGCGGAACGCGCAAGGGCAGCGGUGGCAGUGGCCGGACAGGGGCGGCUGCUGCGGCUGCUGCGGCUGCUGCGGCUGCUGCGACUGCUGCGGCUGCUUCAGCGACGGGGAGGGCCCUUACGGCGCUGGCAACGGGAAUGGCGAGGGCGGAGGUCCACGAGCAGGGACGACAGGCAGCGGCGCGGCAGGCAGGAGUAACUUGACACCAAUUUGCACAACGUCCCUGGCGGGCAUGUAACAUCGCAACCAGGGCACCCAUGAUCGCAACUGAGCGCGGCUGGCACAGGGGCACGCACCAUUGGGCUGGCACGAUGCACACAGCGAUUGGUGGCCAGCUCCACACCCCUAAAGGCUAAAGCGCCACUGUGAGCAGGGUUGCGCACCAGGGCGCACCGAAGUUGGUGACACAGAGGAUAGAUAGCAUUGGGUGUCACCUUAGCACUACCUUUAUUUACCCCACCAGAAGCCUCUUCAUCCGCAUUGGGCGCCGUGUAGCACGGGUGGUACACGCCUUGUGACAACUAAGUUACCAUUUCCGCCGCGACGUAGCCGUUAUUGACGUGCGUUGCGGAACUAUUACGUACGCGUGUAACCCGUGUUUCAGUGCGGGCGGAGGACUGCAGCCAUGUUGGCGUGCUCCGGCCCCAGGUACAGUACCGCCAGUACAUCAAACACUCAAACAGUUCGCGGGAACAAGCGGCACGUCUGCACUUGAGUACGCCGUCUGAUGUCGUAGUCAGUAAGGGUCAUCCCAUCCCACGCAGCAGUCGAGUGUAGUUGCCCAAGCUUCACGGCGGCCCUGCACCCUGCAGCUAGCAAGGAUGCGAAGAGAAGUGGCCGUAGCCGCAGGACAGAGGUAGGUCGAACUCUUGACGUCUGAAGUGAUGAAAUGGAGAUGCUGGACUCAUGGCGAGUGGUCACGGCCUGCAUUGUAACGUGCGGCCCUGCAACCCCCACCGUACAGCCUGCGGUUUCGCACGCGACGUCCUCUCUGUCAACUUUCUUCCCACGCGGUGCAAUCAGCCAACGCUCCUCAGCUUGGCAGCCAUCCGCCACAAAGUAACGCCUCUCUUAUCUCGGGGCACGCCCCUUGACCGCUAGUGCACUUCCGCAUACGCCCCCGCAGAGUCCACCUGGGCCCGGCAAUGGGUUCAGCGCGGCCCUCCCUAUUGGAACCAUAACCACGUGCAGCACUUUUGUAUUGAAUACGCCAAGCCGUCAAGCGGCUCGGCGCGUGCGUGCGGGUCAGCGCGCAGACGAUGUGCACACACACAGGCGCGACAAGAGCAGGGGUACACCCGCUCCGCGCAAACUGGCAGGCGGCAUGGUGUGGGCAAGCUCUAAUUUCACACAGCCUCGGCGCUGUAAGCGCUCCCAAAAUAAAAUGCUGUCACCCGACUUGUACGGCUCAUUGCGCAUUCGGGCGGGUAGCUCAAAAUCCGCCCGCGCGCUUGAAUCGUCUCCUUUCAACCCCGCCGCGGUGGUUGUUUUGCGACAGACUCAAAGUGAGAAAUUUAAAAUGCAAAUUGCCACACCUUGCUUGCACGCUCUUUAGCAUUCGCUGUAGACGACCUCCUUCCCACCCGUUCGCGCGCAGAAUGGCCGCCCUGGAGUCCUUCCUGUAUACCUCGGAGUCGGUGAACGAGGGUCACCCCGACAAGAUCUGCGACCAGGCACGUUAGACGCGGCGGCGCAAUUCCGCGCCUAUUGAGUCGCCUGGGGGCUCCGCUCUGGUGCAACCGAAUUAUUCUUGGACAUCGCUAGCUUUGUCAACUGAUCUAAAGCCAGCGCUCCGGGGCGCGACGCUCCUCCGAGCUGGACAGGGUACUGAUGGUGCGGUUGUUCCCCGGUGCAGGUGUCCGAUGCUGUCCUGGACGCCUGCCUGGAGCAGGACCCCGACUCAAAGGUUGCCUGCGAGACGUGCUGCAAGACUGGUGAGCGUUUACGCCGACCGAACGCUGCCAGCCCAGAUCAUUCAACAACGCAAGUGUCGCACCCAUGGUUUAAGCUGCAUAACAAGUGAAAUCCACCUUCGAAAGAAAGUUGGUCGUGGUUUUCUGAGCUGGAGCCGACCCUUUUGGCCUGCAGGCAUGGUGAUGGUGUUCGGUGAGAUCACCACCAAGGCGAAGGUUGACUACGAGGCCAUUGUGCGCAAGGUGUGCAAGGAGAUUGGCUUCACCUCGGAGGACGUGGGCCUGGACGCCGACAAGUGCAAGGUGCGUUGCUGAGGCCGGCGUUCGGGCGUGCUCCGCUGUGCUGGCCCUCGCCUUGGCCCUUGCCUUCCGCGCCCCCAGGCCCCACGCGCUCGCUGCCCUGGCUUGCGCUGCCACAAACCUCCUAUGUCACCAUGGUAUUCUCGUAGGUGCUGGUCCACAUCGAGGAGCAGUCGCCCGAUAUCGGCCAGGGCGUGCACGGCAUGGGCACCAAGGCGCUGGAGGAGAUCGGCGCCGGUGACCAGGGCCACAUGUUCGGCUACGCCACUGACGAGACCCCCGAGCUGAUGCCCCUGACCCACGUGCUGGCCACCCAGCUGGGCUACAAGCUGACUGAGGUCCGCAAGAACGGCGUCUGCCCGUGGCUGCGCCCUGACGGCAAGACCCAGGUGAGCUGCCUUUCGCUGAGGGCCAAGCGUUUUCUAUAAUGGCGGAGACUGCAAGGGCCAGGGUGGUUUCCCGACCUCCAUGGCGCUCAGCAAUGCUAGGCAUCGCGACCAUGAAUUCCCAUUUACUGUCUCCCCAAUCGGUGCUGCCAUCGCCUCCUGACAGGUCACCGUGGAGUACAAGCGCGAGGGCGGCGCCAUGAUUCCCCAGCGCGUGCACACCAUCCUGAUCUCGACCCAGCACAACCCCGAUGUGACCAACGAGAAGAUUCGUGAGGACCUGAUGGAGCACGUGAUCAAGCCCGUGGUGCCGGCCAAGUACCUGGACGACAAGACCAUCUUCCACCUGAACCCCUCGGGCCGUUUCGUGAUUGGUGGCCCCCACGGCGACGCCGGUCUGACUGGCCGCAAGAUCAUCAUCGACACCUACGGCGGCUGGGGUGCCCACGGUGGUGGCGCCUUCUCGGGCAAGGACCCGACCAAGGUCGACCGCUCGGGCGCCUACAUCGCCCGCCAGGCCGCUAAGUCCGUCGUUGCGUCGGGCCUGGCCAAGCGGUGAGUGGGUAGCAGCUGGCAACUGUUUGGAAUGGUCAUGGAACCGAAGGGCUAUGGCAAGCGGGCCAGGAUUGGUAUUGUCAUCGUCUGAUGUGCCAUACGAGUUUGGCCUAACCUCGUGUCCGCACCAUGGCUCUGUCUCCUCCGCGUAACCUCUUGUCCUCGCCAUGGUUCCGUCUCCUCCGCCCCUGCAGCUGCCUGGUCCAGGUGUCGUACUCGAUCGCUGUGGCUGAGCCCCUGUCGGUGUUCGUUGACACCUACGGCACCGGCACCAUGCCCGAUGCCGAGAUCCUGAAGCUGAUCCGGAAGCACUUCGACUUCCGCCCCGGUGAGAACUGCUGUUGUGAGGGCUUACCCAGACUCAUGCGGUUCUGCUGUGGAUUCAAGGCUUUGAUGCUGACUCGCAGUGAUGGGAAUCUGUGGGACACCUGCAUGCAGUCCAAAGCGCAGAUCGCAUUGUGCAGUUUGCCUUGAUGCGCUCCGGUUUCCACCCAUCGAUUUUCCCAUGCACAGGCCUCAUCGGCAAGAAC
rnacentral:lncRNA from 1 species